CAUACUUGUUCCGCUGUAGCAGCACGUAAAUAUUGGCGUAGUAAAAUAAAUAUUAAACACCAAUAUUAUUGUGCUGCUUUAGCGUGACAGGGA
ensembl:miRNA microRNA 16-2